AGACCUACCCACUUCCGUUCUUGCCGUGUUUUGCUUCCGCCACCGGCGUAGCGGAGGGUCUUCCUGGCGAUGCCCGUCAAGUAGCCGUAACAUAGAGAGCAUGAAACUCUCUCCUCUCUGCCUGAUCGGGCCAAGCUAAGGCUUUAAAGAACCGCUGCUGUUUUGCUGCACCGAAAAGAGACGGGUUUCUGACGCAGGGUCAUCACCCGUACUGCUGAUCCUGUGUGCUGCU